rnacentral:rRNA from 1 species
UGGGCGUCGACCGGCGACGACGGUGAGUAACGCGUAUCCAACCUGCCCAUCACUUGGGGAUAACCUUGCGAAAGUAAGACUAAUACCCAAUGACGUCUCCAGAAGACAUCUGAAAGAGAUUAAAGAUUUAUCGGUGAUGGAUGGGGAUGCGUCUGAUUAGCUUGUUGGCGGGGUAACGGCCCACCAAGGCGACGAUCAGUAGGGGUUCUGAGAGGAAGGUCCCCCACAUUGGAACUGAGACACGGUCCAAACUCCUACGGGAGGCAGCAGUGAGGAAUAUUGGUCAAUGGGCGAGAGCCUGAACCAGCCAAGUAGCGUGCAGGAUGACGGCCCUAUGGGUUGUAAACUGCUUUUAUAAGGGAAUAAAGUGAGUCUCGUGAGACUUUUUGCAUGUACCUUAUGAAUAAGGACCGGCUAAUUCCGUG